GACCGCGUAGCUCAGUUGGCAGAGCAUUGGCUAGUAUUCCAAAGGUUGUAGGUUCGAAUCCCACCGUGGCCA
rnacentral:tRNA from 1 species